GGGUGCGGGCUGUGCGCGGCUGCCAUUUUGGAGUCGGGCAGCUGAGAAGGCGGCCGGUCCGGCCCGGGGGAAAGGAAGGAGCCAGUCAGAUGAGAAGAUCGAGGUCCAAAGUAUUGAGGAGAAAUGGCUGUAAUCACAAACCUGCACAGAUGCACCAAGUUUAAAUUGAAUUAUCAUACUCUCAAGACUCUAGGGAAUCAUCAGUGGUAAGACCCCAUAAAGCCGUCUGUGAUUGCGCCAUCUCCCGGAGGUGAGCCCGCGGAGUAGCUGCACAGGAUCCAGCCACAUCUCUCGGCUCUUGGUAUUUGCCCAGGAAUUUACUUCAUCCCCCAGGCUCAGGGAACUCAUUUCUAAUCUCCUUAGCUUUUCUUCCAAAUAUUUUGUCUAUGCUGCUAGGUCUUUCUUCUUUCUCCUAAGCAGCUUCUGGAACCAAAAUCCAGGAAGACACUCUUCUUUCUCUGCCUCUUGCUAUCACGUCCCUGCUCUGCGAUAAGAAGCUUGAACUAGGCCAGUGGCCUGAAUGAGGGGAAGGAAGGAGGAGAGUAAAUAUGGGGGACAGGGAUCCACUGAUAUUAUGCUGCCACAUUAAUAUGGCUUUCAUGGGUCCAGGGCCUGCAAGAGAGUAAGUCAGCCCCAAAUGAAACCAGACACCGAGCAAAAAGUGAACUUUGAUAGAACAGUUAAAAUAAAACUUCCAGUACCAGAGCAGUUUUCCUAUAGGCUCUUCACAUUUUCUGCAGGGUGGUAUCCAGAGCUAAGCAACUUUUAGACACGACACUGAGAAUAAAAGGAUCUUCUCAAGGAUGGGGUGAACGAUGAGCUCCACAGUGGAACAUGGAGGCCUUUUGGCCAGACUGGGGUGUCGGGAGAGGUGAUGGGAAGAAAGGGGCAGUAGCUGCACACCUUGAGGCUCUCUCACUUACAGUCUCUCUAGAACCUUCCUGCCUCUAACUUGGUGUUCCUGCUCCAAGCAGAUCUGAAGUCCCCUCAUCCACUCAAAACCAUUGACUUCCUAUUCUGGGCUGCAUAUUGGGGAACAGGUAGUCCUAUUUCGGUCUUGGCAAGUGUAUCUAAGUCUCCUGUUGAAUAAGCUUCUUUGGACUUAAGGAUUUUACAGUUUAGAUGGGGGAGGGAGUUGCCCUUGGGAAGACAUGUGAAAGAGUGGUCUCCUGCUGA